rnacentral:rRNA from 1 species
UACGUAGGGGGCAAGCGUUAUCCGGAUUUACUGGGUGUAAAGGGAGCGCAGACGGCAGCGUAAGUCUGAAGUGAAAGCCCGCGGCUUAACCGCGGGACUGCUUUGGAAACUACGCGGCUUGAGUGUCGGAGGGGCAGGCGGAAUUCCUAGUGUAGCGGUGAAAUGCGUAGAUAUUAGGAAGAACACCGGUGGCGAAGGCGGCCUGCUGGACGAAAACUGACGUUGAGGCUCGAAGGCGUGGGGAGCAAACAGG